UACGUAGGGGGCAAGCGUUGUUCGGAAUUACUGGGCGUAAAGGGUGCGCAGGCCGCGCGGGCAGUCAAAUGUGUAAUCCAGGGGCUCAACCCCUGAACUGCGCUUGAUACUUCCGCGCUCGAGCUUUGGAGAGGAGUCUGGAAUUCUCGGUGUAGCAGUGAAAUGCGUGGAUAUCAGGAGGAACACCGGUGGCGAAGGCGGAUCUCUGGGCCGAUACUGACGCUGAGGAGCGAAAGCGUGGGGAGCGAACAGG
rnacentral:rRNA from 1 species